rnacentral:lncRNA from 1 species
CCGAGCUCGGUAACGUGGGCUUUCACCCAAGUGGGGGGCAAGGGCAUGGACUCGGUUGCUGGCAGCACAAAAAAAUUCCACAUUCCACAUUCCACGAUUUAAAAAAAAAAAAUCAAUGAAUUAAAAAAACGUUGCAGCAACUGGGACCAUUCCCUUUUCUUCAUUUUUCGUGUUUAAGCCACAAAUAAACUACAGAAAUUUAGCUAGCUAGAUUUGCAAUGUUUUUGUAUGUGUAUGUAAUCCCAUAGAUAGCAAGCGUCAUAUCAAAAUGUUUAUAUGGUAAGGGGUUACGAUUAGGUUUCUUAAUGUUUAUAUUGUCUGCUCUGUUUGAUAUUUCUUUUUUCUAUCAUUUUCAGUAGUUAAUCAAUACUUUUUCUAUUGAAUAAUAUUGUACAUGUUCUAGCUGCUGUGGAGUGAUUGUCUAACUUAGCAGAAUGGUUUGUUAAUUUAGUUGGUAAUCCUUUUUGGAAAUUGAAAAAUGUAAUGACAAUAAUGGAAGUAGUUCAUGACUUGCUAGAUUCUAUCCCACAUCGACAUCAUCAGUGGCUCCAAGUUGGUAAAUAAAGUUCAUUUCCUUAUCCUACGAAUGCUAGGCUCAGUAACAUGGGCUUGUACCCCAAGUGGGGGCAUUAAGGGUAUGGAAUCAGUUGCUUGCAACCCAAAAAAAUUCCACAUUCCAGUAUCUAAAAAAUAGACAUGAAUGAAUUCAAAAAUGUUGCAGCUGGUUGGACCAUUACCUUUUCUUCAUUUUUGCUGUUUAAGGCACAAUGAAACUGUAGAAAUUUAGCUAGCUAGCGUUUGCAAUAUUUUUGUUUGUGUUCAUAAUCCUGUAGAUAGCAAGCAGGUUCAUUUUUCCAGUUUAAGGCACAAUGAAACUAUAGAAAUUUUGCUAGCUAGUGUUUGCAAUAGUUUUGUAUGUAUACAUAAUCUCAUAGAUAGUAAGCAGGUGUUAUAUCACAAUGUUUAUAUGGUAAGGGAUUAUGAUUAGUUUUCUUAUUGUUUAUGUUGUCUGCUCUGCUUGAUAUUUCUUUUUUUCUGUCAUUUUCAGUGGUUAAUCAAUCCUUUUUCUGCAGAAUAAUGUUGUACAUAUUGUAGCUGCUGUGGUGUGAUUAUAUAAUUUAGCAGAAUGGUUUGUUAAUUUAGCUGAUAAUCCUUUUUGGAAAUUGAAAAAUGUAACGACAAUAAGGGAACUUGUUCAUGACUUGCUAGAUUCUAUCCCACAUCGACGCUAUCAGUGCCUCCAAUUCAGUAUAUAAAUUUCAUUUCCUUAUCCCACGAUUGCCGAGCUCGGUAACGUGGGCUUUCACCCAAGUGGGGGGCAAGGGCAUGGUCUCGGUUGCUGGCAGCACAAAAAUUCCACAUUCCACAUUCCACGAUCUAAAAAAUAAAAAUCAAUGAAUUAAAAAAAAACAUUGCAGCAACUGGGACCAUUCCCUUUUCUUCAUUUUUCCUGUGUAAGCCACAAAUAAACUGUAGAAAUUUAGCUGGCUAGCGUUUGAAAUAUUUUUGUAGGUGUGCAUAAUCCCAUAGAUAGCAAGCGUCAUAUCAAAAUGUUUAUAUGGUAAGGGGUUACGAUUAGGUUUCUUGUUGUUUAUAUUGUCUGCUCUGUUUGAUAUUUCUUUUUUCUAUCAUUUUUAGUGGUUAAUCAAUACUUUUUCUGUUGAAUAAUGUUGUAUGUGUUGUAGCUGCUGUGGGGUGAUUGUAUAACUUAAUAGAAUGGUUUGUUAAUUCAGCUGAUAAUCCUUUUUGGAAAUUGAAAAAUGUAAUGACAAUAACGGAAGUAGUUCAUGACUUGCUAGAUUCUAUUCCACAUCGACAUCAUCAGUGGCUCCAAUUUGGUAUAUAAAGUUCAUUUCCUUAUCCUACGAAUGCUAGGCUCGGUAAUGUGGGUUUGUACCCCGAGUGGGGGCAUUAAGGGUAUGGAAUCAAUUGCUUGCAACCCAAAAAAAUUCCACAUUCCACUAUCUAAAAAAUAGAAAUGAAUGAAUUCAAAAAUGUUGCAGCUGGUUGGACCAUUACCUCCUUCAUUUUUGCUGUUUAAGGCACAAUGAAACUGUAGAAAUUUAGCUAGCUAGCAUUUGCAGUGUUUUUGUAUGUGUACAUAAUCCCAUAGAUAGCAAACAGGUUCAUUUUUCCUACUUAAGCCACAAGGAAACUACAGAAAUUUGGCUAGCUAGUGUUUGCAAUAUUUUUGUAUGUAUACAUAAUCCCAUAGAUAGUAAGCAGGCGUCAUAUAACAAUGUUUAUAAGGUAAGGGGUUAUGAUUAGGUUUCUUAUUGUUUAUGUUGUCUGCUUUGUUUGAUAUUUCUUUUUUUUCUGUCAUAUUCGGUGGUUAAUCAAUACUUUUUCUGCUGAAUAAUGUUGUACAUAUUGUAGCUGCUGUGGAGUGAUUAUAUAAUUUACCAGAAUGGUUUGUUAAUUUAGCUGAUAAUCCUUUUUGGAAAUUGAAAAAUGUAACGACAAUAAGGGAACUAGUUCAUGACCUGCUAGAUUCUAUCCCACAUCGACGCAACCAGUGCCUCCAAUUCAGUAUAUAAAGUUCAUUUCCUUAUCCCACGAUCGCCGAGCUCGGUAAUGUGAGCUUUCACCCAAGUGGGGGGCAAGGGCAUGGACUCAGUUGCUGGCAGCCCAAAAAAAUUCCACAUUCCACGUUCCACGAUUUAAAAAAUAAAAAUCAAUGAAUUAAAAAAACGUUGCAGCAACUGGGACCAUUCCCUUUUCUUCAUUUUUCCUGUUUAAGCCACAAUUAAACUAUAGAAAUUUAGCUAGCUUGCGCUUGCAAUAUUUUUGUAUGUGUGCAUAAUUCUAUAGAUAGCAAGAGUCAUAUCACAAUGUUUAU